UGGAUGUAGUUCCAUUUUUAAUACUACGUUCCUUCUUCAAAUCUUACUACUCUAGCUCUCUGAUAAAAUUAAUUUCUUGUUAAUUGUGGUCACAAUACAGACCAAACUUUGGUCACAGCUCAAAAGAAUUUCCAUUUCUUAAGGUGCUCAAUAAAUCACCUUUACUUUUGAAAUGUUAGCCUUUUCAGGUUAGGAUCCCUUUCUAGCUUUCUCAAUGAAUAAAAGAAUGUUGAAUCUCUGUGAAAUGGAAUUCAUCUGAGCCUCUUGUGGUAUAUUUGGAUAAGUUACAUUUUCUUAGUGAUAGAGGAGUAUGGUUUUAGUUUUUGAAGUACCCCAAAUUUUAGAGAUUUUGUUUUGUUUUAGGUUAGUGUCUUCUGUGACACCACAGGAUAUAUCAUGUUUGUUAUCCAGUGUUUUUCACUGGAUAACACAGUGAAAAAUGUUUUAAUUCACACAGUGAAUGACCAGUAGAUUAACACAGUGACAUGUGAUUGACAAGCACUUACGGACAUUUAAGAAGGCAUACAGUUUUACCUUUUUGCUGCAAUUUUGGGCUUUUAUAGGAGAAAUGGGCUGUAAAAGAAGUACCUGUAAACCAGAGAGCAUUUAGGAAAUUGUUUAUGGGUGGUCAUGAAGGUGAUCUUCAGGAUAUGAGAUACAUGGUUUACAUAACCUUUGUUCUCCUGAUGUGAAGUUUGUUUUCAUUUUCCUACAACUCAGCACUUUUGUUGUCCAUUACUGUUUACUAUUUAGAAGGAUUAAUGUUUUAUUUGCUUUAUUUGUGCUUUUCAGAGAGUUGUCAUAAUCAUGGCAGUUAUGUUUGUGGCACUAUCAGUGCCAGAAUUCAUGGGAAAUUUAUCAAAUGAUUGCAAGUUAUUCGGCAUCCUAAAGGAAACCGAGGGCUUUUUUGAAAGUCAUGUAUGUUUUAUGAUUAGCUUUGUGAUCAGAGAGAACAGAGCAUUCUGUAUCGUCUUGCCUUAUGUGACUAUUGAUCCAUGUGACUGUUGAUCCUUGUUGUGAAGUAAAAGAGCUUAUUUUGUUAUACUACUUUGUAUGAUGAACAUAAGUCACACUCUGAAGGAAAAAACCCCAAACUGGAGUUGUCAGAAUUUUUAUUCCUAUUUGCAAAACUCUUAGGUAAUAACAUCAGAGCUAUUUCUUAUCAUAAACUCUUGAUUGUCAGCAAGAGAAUUAUAUGUAGUCGGUUCUGUCCCAGUUGGAAUUCCCUUCCCUUUCUAAGCUGUCUCCUUAAUAGUAUUCAUGAUGUCAGGAUAGUGAGUGUGUAAAAGAAAAUGUAGUGAGGUGUUCUGUAUCACACAUCCAAAAUCAUGCAUUUAUGGACUCAAAAUCUUUUCAGUUUUUUGAAUUAUCUAUAGCUAUUUUAUUAGCAUGGGUUGUCAAAAAUCUCCCAGAUUUAAGAGUAAAGAAGAGAAAAGUAAUAUAAACAAAGAGAUGAGGGGAAGAAAAUGGCUUCCUUUUUAAGGUGUUAUUAAUUGUUCAUAUAGUUUAUGACCUAAAAAUGAUAUUUAUUUUUAAAAAUCCAACUUUGGUACCUGUAACAUAGAAACAUUGCCUUUUCUAUACAUUCCUCAUCAUUGUUUGCCCAAAAAAUUAUUUUAAGAGUGUAUGAGACCAGAUUAAAUAUCCAUAUUCAGUUUGGUCAAAUUUUUAAAACUAAAUAUUUAAAUGAGACUCUAUCUUUUGUGUAUUUGGUAUACAUCAACACUUAUGCAAAUCAAGGAUCAGAAAGCAACUGGGGACUAGCCAUCUCUGUUUCCCUUUGCACAUGGGGUACAGUGGGUGGCAUUAGUAUGCACUAGCUGCAGUGUUGUAGCACCUUAUGGAAGUAAGUAGUGUUAAGUACAAUAAAGAAAAAGUUAAGAUGCAUCUCUGUGGAAUAUUUACUUUGCAGAGUGUAAAGCUGUCAUAUCUCUUUCCAGCAGAAUUUAACUCCUACUACUGUUUUCCCUCAAUAACAUGUAAUAGCUGUGUUCUUGCUUAGAAGGUAUGGUUAGAAAAAUGUGAACGAUCACUUAAACCAAAGCCAGUUAUAAGGAGUAUUCUCUCC
rnacentral:lncRNA from 1 species